UACGAAGGGUGCAAACGUUGCUCGGAAUUAUUGGGCGUAAAGCGCACGUAGGCGGCAUUGCAAGUCGGAUGUGAAAUCUUAUGGCUUAACCAUAAAAGUGCAUCCGAAACUGCAGUGCUUGAGUACUUAAGAGGAUCGCGGAAUUCCCGGUGUAGAGGUGAAAUUCGUAGAUAUCGGGAGGAACACCAGUGGCGAAGGCGGCGACCUGGACGGACACUGACGCUGAGACGCGAAAGCGUGGGGAGCAAACAGG
rnacentral:rRNA from 1 species